CGUAAGAGAAAAAGCAGCAGGGUGUCAUAUUGCGUUUACUGUACUCCUUUUGUCUGUCAUUGUGAAGUAUUUCAAACACCAUUUUGAGAAAAAAGAUGAGAAAGAAGACUGAGUUAAAUAAGGAAUGAAAUUGAAUAAAAGUUGGCUGAUUUGGGUCAGAACCCACAUGUGGUCUAGUCUGGUCUGACGUGUUCCAGUCUCCUGAGAUAGGGGGCACUGUUUCUAAAAUGAGUCUCUCAGAGGAGCCAGAGAGCAAAGGUGGAACCCUCAGCACUGACAGAAAGAGGGUCCAGGUAGAAAGAGCAGGGUCACCUGUACCCAGCUGUCUGUCUAUGAAGAGUGAUCAUUCAAUGCCUGAACCAAUCGACUUCAGGGGAGAGUUCACAGGUGAUCAAA